rnacentral:rRNA from 1 species
AAACCAACAGGGAUUGCCCUAGUAACGGCGAGUGAAGCGGCAACAGCUCAAAUUUGAAAUCUGGCUCCUUGGGGCCCGAGUUGUAAUUUGUAGAGGAUGCUUUUGGCGCGGUGCCUUCCGAGUUCCCUGGAACGGGACGCCUUAGAGGGUGAGAGCCCCGUACGGUUGGACACCAAGCCUCUGUAAAGCUCCUUCGACGAGUCGAGUAGUUUGGGAAUGCUGCUCUAAAUGGGAGGUAAAUUUCUUCUAAAGCUAAAUAUUGGCCAGAGACCGAUAGCGCACAAGUAGAGUGAUCGAAAGAUGAAAAGCACUUUGAAAAGAGGGUUAAAUAGCACGUGAAAUUGUUGAAAGGGAAGCGUUUGCGACCAGACCUUUUCCUAGCGGAUCAUCCGGUGUUCUUCACCGGUGCACUUCGCUAAGUCGAGGCCAGCAUCGGUUUCUGCAGGGGGAUAAAAGCCCAGGGAACGUAGCUCUUUCGGGAGUGUUAUAGCCCUCCGCAUAAUACCCUUGCGGGGACCGAGGACCGCGCUUUUUGCAAGGAUGCUGGCGUAAUGGUCGUCAACGAC